GUGAUGCCGUGACGUCACGGCUUCAUAUGACUUGUGUGUGUGAGGUUCUCGCAGUGGUCUGUACGGUGUUUGUCCUGGCACAGGGUUCCUGGCUCUUCUGCUCUCUUCUUCUAGUAAAACGGUUACCCGGAAGGUGAACAAGAUGGAGACGGUCGGGCAGAGGAGGCUGUGGGAGGCAGUACUGGCCAUGGCGUUGUUCCUUGGUUUCCUUCAUUCUGCCUCCUGUGUUGAAUUUGAAGUCAAAGAUUCAA